rnacentral:lncRNA from 1 species
AUUCUUUACAGCUGCAAAUUUCCCCCUACAAAGAACAGCUUUGCCGGGGCCAUUUCAAAAUAUGGCAAAGAAACUUGUUUUGGGGCAAAAUAUUUUUAUUUUCUUCCUCAUAUCGUAAUGUUCUGCCAGGGCCAGGUUGGAAAGUAAGUCAUGAUAUACGUGGUUAAAUAAAACCCAUCUGAUGAGAAUUUAUGGUUUGUAGGGCAUGACUCCCCAAGCCCCUUAGGUAGGAAUUUGGGCAAGAUAAAAAAUCAGAGUUUAGUCCUCAAUCAUGAUGAGCUGCUGAGUUUCACACAAGGCCUGUUGUCAUUUAAACUAUAGCCUAAAUGUCUCUCAAAGUCAGCUUGGCCCCAAAAACCAGGAAUAAUUAAAGGAAAGGCAAGAUUGUGGGUGGGCUAGCUCAGCUCACAGUUAUAAUAAUUCUUCUCACUGAUACUGUUACAGCAGGUAGCUCCUCCGGCUUGAGCAGGACAGGAGAGCGCUUCCCACCCACAACCAGGAAUGUCAGGCGACCCCUCAGGUGAUGGUCAGGUGGUUGUUGCACUGUUUCUCUAAAAUAAUAAUUGGUAGCAACCAGCGCCAAGGAAAGGCAGUCUCCCAGUAGAUAGAAAAAAACCUGAAACGUGGUCAGGUUUAUCCACAAUCUUGCUCAUGUGGUCCUGUGGCCCCCACCGAGGAGCUGGGUUAGGGUUGGGAAGACAGCUUCGACUCCCCAAGACUUCAUCUCCAACCGGACCGGUCAGCGCUCCUGACUCACUGGCCGCCUACCCACCAUAUCAUCCUUCGAAACUCGGAUCCCCACGUUUUUGGGGAGAAGGAUUUGAGUAAUAAUAAAACUCCCGUCUCCCCCGCAGCCGGCUCUGCGUGAAUUACACUUUCCUUAUUGCGAUUCCCCUGCCCCGAUGCGACCAAGGGGCCCGCCCAGGAGCGCAGAGAAACCAUUAAGGGGUCACAGGACCGGGCUCCCAGGGUGACUCCCUGGCCACCAAGUCCUCCAGCAGGUCACUCCUGGAUUCCGGCUGGACCCCCUGCCCAGGGAGGGGCCCAGGAGACGCGGAAAUCGGGUCCCCCGCGGGUGAAGGGGAGGUGGGAGCCCCAGAGGAGGGCGGGAAGGCUCGGCCGGGGACGUGCCCGAGGGGGAGGAGAGGGGCUCCCGUCCGGGUCCGGCGCUGCGGGUCUCAGGGUCCGCGUCCCGCCCACCCCGCGGGGGUCUGGGCUGCGGGCGGAGCCUCCUCCGGGACCUGCACCUGCGCCGGCCGCCGCCAGGGGCGCCGCUGAGCACCCGCCUCCGCCGCUUCCCCCUCCCCGCCGGGCGGGGCCGCGCGCCUCCCACCCGGGACCCACUUCGGAGUUCGCCCCCUUCGGGACUCGCCUCCGGGAGACCCCCGAGGGGGAGAGGGCGCUUCCUCCGCGUCCAUCGCCCUUGCCGCCCCUGGGAGAGCUCUUGUCAGAGCUAUUAGCUCUGCUUUCUAAGCAGAAGUUUCUGCAGACAGAGACGGUACCUCUACUGCUGAGUCCAAAGUCACCGCGGCAUACCCAGCUCGGCAGACUCCCCUUAGUACGAAACUGCUUCCAUCAGUAAAAUAUUCAAUGUCCAGGUCCCCGAGGGGCCAAUCUGUUAAAUCUUUCCAGCUUGAGAACACUUUAUCUACCACGUCCACACAGCAAUGAAGGGGACUUCCUGUGUAGGGUCCAGCCCUACGGGGGCUUAGCGGGUGUUCUCCCCGUGUGCAGAGACAAGAGAUCGUAAGAAAUAAAGACACAAGACAAACAGAUAAAGAGAAAACAGCUGGGCCCAGGGGACCACUACCACCAAGACAUGGAGACCGCUAGUGGCUCCGAACGGCUGGCUGCGCUGAUAUUUAUUGAAUACAAGACAAGGGGGCAGGGUACGGACGGUGAGUCGUCCAAGUAAUUGAUAAGGUGAAGCAAGUCACGUGAUCAUAGGACAGGGGGCCUUUCCCUCUUAGGUAGCCGAGCAGAGAGAGAAGGCAGCAUACGUCAGCGUUUUCUUCUAUGCACUUAUAAGAACAAUCAAAGACUUUAAGACUUUCACUAUUUCUUCUACCGCUAUCUACUACGAACUUCAAAGAGGAACCAGGAGUACGGGAAGAGCAUGAAAGUGGACAAGGAGUGUGAUCAUUCAAGCACCACAGGGAGGGGGUUAGGCCUCCGGAUGACUGCAGGCCAGGCCUGGAGAAUAUCCAGCCUCCCACAAGAAGCUGGCGGAGCAGAGUGUUCCCUGACUCCUCCAAGGAAAGGAGACUCCCUUUCACGGUCGGCUAAGUAACGGGUGCCUUCCCAGGCACUGGCGUUACCGCUUGACCAAGGAGCCCUCAAGCGGCCCUUAUGUUGGCGUGACAGAGGGCUCACCUCUUGCCUUCUAGGUCACUUCUCACAACGUCCCUUCAGCACCUGACCCUAUACCCGCCGGUUAUUCCCAGGUUAUAUAGUAAUGGAACAAAGAGUAAUAUUAAAAGCUAAUGAUUAAUAA